AUGAACGCUAGCUACAGGCUUAACACAUGCAAGUCGAGGGGCAUCACAGUGUAGCAAUACACGGGUGGCGACCGGCGCACGGGUGCGUAACACGUAUCCAAUCUGCCCGUUACUCGGGGAUAGCCUUCUGAAAGGAAGAUUAAUACCCGAUGGCAUGUAUUUCCGGCAUCGGAGAUACAUUAAAGAUUUAUCGGAAACGGAUAGGCUCGCGUGACAUUAGCUUGAUGGCGGGGUAACGGCCCACCAUGGCUACGAUGUCUAGGGGUUCUGAGAGGAAGGUCCCCCACACUGGAACUGAGACACGGUCCAGACUCCUACGGGAGGCAGCAGUGAGGAAUAUUGGUCAAUGGUCGAAGGACUGAACCAGCCAUGCCGCGUGAAGGUGACGGCCCUAUGGGUCUUAAACUUCUUUUGUAAGGGAGCAAUAAGUUCUACGUGUAGGAUGAUGAGAGUACCUUACGAAUAAGCAUCGGCUAACUCCGUG
rnacentral:rRNA from 1 species